UGUGCGAGUGUUAUUAGCAAUUAAUGCACGUCGAGCAGUUGCUGUCGUGCCUCGCUCAUACCUGGUCGUCUUAGGCUUACUGGUGCUGCAACCGAGGACAAAGGAUACAUGCAACUAUAAACAACUCACGAACCUGCAAUAGAAGUUAUCAAGAAAAGCUCAGAUUAAAAUUACACUGGGAGGAUAAAUGAUAUAGAGCGAGCUUUUGAAUCUAAAUUGUAUUUGUUCUGACCCAUAAAAAUUUAAAAUUAAUAUCAAAGAUGAAGCUGUUGACUUUGGUGAUGGCGCUUCUGGCUUGCCUCUCCCUGGCCGUUGGGAUGCCUGACCCUGAACCUCAAUUUGGCUUCGGCAUCGGAUUCGGGAGAGGUUUCGGUUGGGGCUACGGCCGUCGAGGAUUCGGAAGACGAAGAUUCGGACGUCGAGGAUUCGGCUUCGGGCGAGGAUUCGGACGGCGUGGAUUUGGUGGUUUUAGAUUUGGUCGUGGAUACCGAGGCUAAGGAGUAGAUAAUAAAAUCGUUGCACAGGCAGCAGUUGACGCAAAUGUUUUUGGUUUAUUUUUUUAUUGUUCUUCAGGAUCUUAUUAGUUCUCUUUAAUUAUUUUUUUCUUUUUUUUCGAAAAUUCAUCCAUAAGGGCAUUAAUGGAAUGAUAAGCCGUAUUUGGUUAGAGUAAAUUCUAUAAUUAUUGUGAUUUUCAGCGAUAUUUUUAUGUAGAUUAUGCUACAAAGGGCAUUAUUUUGAUAUUUAGAUCAUUAAGAAACGUCUUUAACAUACUUAAGCCUGCCUAUGUGUCAACGCUAGAUAAAUUCAAAUGAAGUUUUACAAAAUUAACAUCCUUUGUUGCCUCCACAUUUUCUGGACUCGAAAAAGAAAUUUCUGUUCCAGUGAACACAAUAUUUAACGACAUUCUCCCUGAAUGAGCCUUGCAUUUUCAUAUUCUAGUUGUCAUAAUCCUCCAUAAUAUUUGUUUAGAGAAUACAAACCGUAUACCAUCUUUCUUGAAACCAAACAGCUCAUUUUGUUCGCUAUUUGCAUUUCAACAAACUUCAACUAAAACCAUGUCUUCAAACAUUAAGGCAUUCUAAAAUCUAGGGGCAUUACACGUACAAAAAGUCCAUUGCUUCUCUACUGUCGGGCCGACAUCUUUCUGUCCUAUGUCUCAAGUGGCAUUCAAACCACUUCCGUAAAAUUAGCCAUCAUUAUUAUCUAAUAAGUUCAUGUAUCGGUUAUGUUUCUUCUAUUUCUUUAUUACAAUAUAAAAGUAAUUAUCAUACCAAGCAUAAAGUUUUUAUUUUGAGUACAAUAGACUUCAAUACUUAUUGCAACUCGAGCAAUCAUCCUAACUCGAGUUUACAUAUCUGCGUCUGGCAUCUGUCAAUUGAAAUUCGUUCAAAUUUGUUGUAGUUUAAUUUUUAUUUUGCGCUUCAUAACCAAAUUAAUUAGGCUGUUUAUAAAAUUUUCCGCAUUUUUUAUUAUUGGUGUUUUGCGUUUGAUGGAUGAUUUGUAUUUUGUUAAACCAAUUGCAAAUUAUUUUGAUCAACGGGACUGAUUUUAAUUACAGGGUAAUUCACGAAUACUUCUUGUUUUGUAAUUCGCGCCAGCAGCCAGAUAUUGUAGGAAAAGGACAGAGAGUAUUUUAUAUGCAAGACAAGGUCAUGAAAUUUUGUCUGCCGCAAAGUCGGUUGCUACUAUAUGCAUUGGACAAGUGAGCAGCGUGCGUUUCCUGUCGAGACGUACUUUUCAAAUGGCCGUUCCAUUAUAGCUACUCUAAACUUUUUUAGUAAUACUUUUUCAUUUAGACCAAAAUGAAGAAUUAUGGAAAUACUAAUAAAUCUAAUACAUAAGUCCCCGACCUGCAAACAAAAAUUUGACAUAUGAUAAUAAAACAAUCGAAAAUUAUUUACAGUAUUCCAAAUUUAACUUUAAGUAUACAAGUUUUACUGAUGUGAGAGCUAUCGACGAAACUCAAAAAUUACAUGCAUAACAUCACACGAGUUACACGGUUGUUUGCAAUAAACAAUAUUGGAGACAUCGA